rnacentral:rRNA from 1 species
UACAGAGGGGGCAAGCGUUAUUCGGAAUUAUUGGGCGUAAAGGGCGCGUAGGCGGCUUGGCAAGUGGAUGGUGAAAUCCCUCGGCUUAACCGGGGAACUGCGUCUGAUACUGGAUGGCUUGAAUCCGGGAGAGGGAUGCGGAAUUCCAGGUGUAGCGGUGAAAAUGCGUAGAUAUCUGGAGGAACACCGGUGGCGAAGGCGGCAUCCUGGACCGGCAUUGACGCUGAGGAGCGAAAAGCCAGGGGGAGCGAACGGG